rnacentral:rRNA from 1 species
AACGAACGCUGGCGGCAUGCCUAACACAUGCAAGUCGAACGAGACCUUCGGGUCUAGUGGCGCACGGGUGCGUAACGCGUGGGAAUCUGCCCUUGGGUUCGGAAUAACAGUUAGAAAUGACUGCUAAUACCGGAUGAUGACUUCGGUCCAAAGAUUUAUCGCCCAGGGAUGAGCCCGCGUAGGAUUAGCUUGUUGGUGAGGUAAGAGCGCACCAAGGCGACGAUCCUUAGCUGGUCUGAGAGGAUGAUCAGCCACACUGGGACUGAGACACGGCGCAGACUCCUACGGGAGGCAGCAGUGGGGAAUAUUGGACAAUGGGCGAAAGCCUGAUCCAGCAAUGCCGCGUGAGUGAUGAAGGCCUUAGGGUUGUAAAGCUCUUUUACCCGGGAUGAUAAUGACAGUACCGGGAGAAUAAGCCCCGGCUAACUCCGUGCCAGCCGCCGCAGUAAUAC